UACAUGACACAAGUGCUGCUGAAGCCCUGCUGAGUCAGAGGCCACAAAUCAAACAGACCCUAGAAACCUGCCCUUCUCUGGCAGGGUUAAGGCUGAGAGUGGGCCCUCAGACCAUUUGGAAUGACCAGUGAUUUCAGCUCUCACUCCCUUCUCAUCAGCAUAUGUCUACAGUUGCAAGUUCUCACUCUGUAGCCCAGUCUGGAGUGCAGUGGUACAAUACUGGCUCACUUCAGCUUUGACCUUCCAGGUUCAAGCGGUCCUUCUACCUCAGCCUCUGGAGCAACUGGGACCAUGGGUGCACCCCACCACGCCCAGCUAACUUUUGUAUUUUUUUGUAGAGACAGGGUUUUGCCAUGUUGCUCAGUCCCAAUAUCAUCACCAGAUAAGAAUAUGUUUGGAUUCACGAAGAAGAAAAUUGCUUAUCUAUUUGAUCAAGAAAGAUUGGAAAAUCAGGAUGAAGCAAGUCUGGGUGAAAGAGCUGUGAAUGGAUUUAUGGGAACAGGAAGGAGGUGUGGAGAUCCUUUUAUUACAUGUUAAUGAUCACUAGGGAACAUCCACUACAAAAGAACAUCCCACUAAAUCACCAAUAGACACAAGAGAAUAU